UUGAACGCUGGCGGCAUGCUUUACACAUGCAAGUCGAACGGUAACAGCACUUCGGUGGCUGACGAGUGGCGAACGGGUGAGUAAUACAUCGGAACGUGCCUAGUAGUGGGGGAUAACUACUCGAAAGAGUAGCUAAUACCGCAUGAGAUCUACGGAUGAAAGCAGGGGACCUUCGGGCCUUGUGCUACUAGAGCGGCUGAUGGCAGAUUAGGUAGUUGGUGGGGUAAAGGCUCACCAAGCCAACGAUCUGUAGCUGGUCUGAGAGGACGACCAGCCACACUGGAACUGAGACACGGUCCAGACUCCUACGGGAGGCAGCAGUGGGGAAUUUUGGACAAUGGGCGCAAGCCUGAUCCAGCAAUGCCGCGUGCAGGAUGAAGGCCUUCGGGUUGUAAACUGCUUUUGUACAGAACGAAAAGUCUUGGGUUAAUACCCUGGGAUCAUGGCGGUACUGUAAGAAU
rnacentral:rRNA from 1 species